rnacentral:misc_RNA from 1 species
CGCACAUUGCGCCCUCUGGUAUUCCGGGGGGCAUGCCUGUUCGAGCGUCAUUACACCUCUCAAGCCUCGCUUGGUAUUGGAGGCCUGCGGGAGCAAAUCUUCUGAUUUGACCUGCACCUCUUGAAGUCUUCCGGCUGGUAUUUAUCUUACCCUCUGCGUUGUGGAAACUAUUCGCUGAUGGGUGGUUAAGAACUGACUGCCGUUAAACACCUCAUUAUCUAAAGGUUGACCUCGGAUCAGGUAGGGAUACCCGCUGAACUUAA